rnacentral:lncRNA from 1 species
ACUUUUGUUUGAGCAAAGUUGACUCUACAACAGGGCAUAGCCUCCAGAGUGAAAGUUAUCUUUGGCAAGAAAAAGGAUCAUUUUAUCCUGAAGCUGGAGAGAAGAAAGAAAACCUGAGUGAAGAUAUAGUAUUAGAAAAAUGGAGAAAAGGACUUGAGGGCAUGUGAGUCGAGUGAAUUGGUCUUCCCACCAUUUUGGAGAGUAGGAAGUGAGUCAAGAAGAGAAGAAUCAAAAAGACUCUGCCUCCUGAUGCCCUGGAUACUGAAAGAGCUUGAAGAUUUGCAAAGAUUUUUUCUUCACAAAAACCUUGCCAAGAAGAUGAAAUGAAAAUUGGUUGAAUGACAAGUUUCUGGAAAUAAUCUUUGAUGUCAGCUUAGAGGGAGGUCUCUAGAGCCAGGAAACCCUUGUUCUGUCUUUGCCCCAGGUGGUUAACAGUAUUUAACAGUGACUUAGAUAAGGACAUGUGGCACAAUAGGUAAAUCUACAGGUAACACAUUUCUGGGAAGGAUAGAUAAUACCUUGCCUGGCAGUCAGGUUCCAAAAUGCUCUUGAAAUGUUAGAAUAUUGGGCUAAAUCUAAGAAUGUACAUUUAUCCCUAUUAAAUGUUAAACUUCUCCUUGUAGGUUAAAUAGAAAUCAACUUCACAAAUGCAAUAUUGUGAAGAUAUGAUUCUAUACAAUUUUGAGGGAAGCAGAUCUAAGGUUUUAGAGGAUGUCAAACUCAGUAGAAGCCAAUAAUAUUAUAUAGGAGUCUUCCAAAGGGCUAAUAAACUAAAAUUGUAUUAAAAGAGGAAUAAUUAAUCAUCUGCGAUUGAGGUGAUUGUCUCAAUGUCCUUUGUCUUGGUAGACUGUACUUAUAGUUCUGGUUUCAGUUCUGGGCACACAUUUUAAAAAGGACAUAAUUGAUAAGCUAGAGAUCAUUAUGAGGAGGGCAGUCAGGAUAGUGAAGGACUUCAAGAAAUCAGCCACAUAAAG